CCGCCAGACUCCUACGGGAGGCAGCAGUGGGGAAUAUUGGGCAAUGGGCGCAAGCCUGACCCAGCAACGCCGCGUGAAGGAAGAAGGCUUUCGGGUUGUAAACUUCUUUUAAGAGGGACGAAACAAAUGACGGUACCUCUUGAAUAAGCCACGGCUAACUACGUGCCAGCAGCCGCGGUAAUACGUAGGUGGCAAGCGUUAUCCGGAUUUACUGGGUGUAAAGGGAGCGUAGACGGAAUUGCAAGUCUGAUGUGAAAAUCCGGGGCCCAACCCCGGAACUGCAUUGGAAACUGUAUUUCUAGAGUGUCGGAGAGGCAAGCGGAAUUCCUGGUGUAGCGGUGAAAUGCGUAGAUAUCAGGAGGAGCACCAGUGGCGAAGGCGGCUUGCUGGACGAUGACUGACGUUGAGGCUCGAAAGCGUGGGGAGCAAACAGGAUUAGAUACCCUAGUA
rnacentral:rRNA from 1 species